AUUGAACGCUGGCGGCAGGCUUAACACAUGCAAGUCGAGCGGAGUGAUGGUGCUUGCACUAUCACUUAGCGGCGGACGGGUGAGUAAUGCUUAGGAAUCUGCCUAUUAGUGGGGGACAACAUCUCGAAAGGGAUGCUAAUACCGCAUACGUCCUACGGGAGAAAGCAGGGGAUCACUUGUGACCUUGCGCUAAUAGAUGAGCCUAAGUCGGAUUAGCUAGUUGGUGGGGUAAAGGCCUACCAAGGCGACGAUCUGUAGCGGGUCUGAGAGGAUGAUCCGCCACACUGGGACUGAGACACGGACCAGACUACUACGGGAGGCAGCAGUGAGGAUUAUUGGACAAUGGGGGAAAGCCUGAUCCAGCCAUGCCGCGUGUGUGAAGAAAGCCUUAUGGUUGUAAAGCACUUUAAGCGAGGAGGAGGCUUACCUAGUUAAUACCUGAGAUAAGUGGACGUUACUCGCAGAAUAAGCACCGGCUAACUCUGUUCCAGCCGCCGCAGUAA
rnacentral:rRNA from 1 species